rfam:Oryza sativa Japonica Group DNA, chromosome 5, cultivar: Nipponbare, complete sequence.
UGACUUUUUCCUUUGUCAAACUUUUUUAAAGUUUGACCAAGUUUGUAGAAAAAUAUAGCAACAUUUCCAACACAAAAGCAAACAUAUUAUCAAAAUAUAUUCAAUGUUACAUUUAAUAAACUAAUUUGGUGUUGUAGAUGCUGCUACAUUUUCCUAUAAACUUGGUCAGAUGUAAAGAAGUUUGAUUAGGAAAAAAGUCAA